rnacentral:lncRNA from 1 species
GUAUGUGCAUGGUUUAAGGGGUGAUUCUUUUUUUUUUAAUUAGGUAUUGAAAGACCCCACCAUAAGACUUAGCAAGCUAGCUGCAGUAACGCCAUUUUGCAAGGCAUGAAAAAGUACCAGAGCUGAGUUCUCAAAAGUUACAAGGAAGUUCAGUUAAAGAUUAACAGUUAAAAAUCAAGGCUGAAUAAUACUAGGACAAGGGCCAAGAACCGAUGGUACCCACCGGGGCCCCGGCUCAAGGCCAAGAACCGAUGGUACCCACCUGGGCCCCGGCUCAGGGCCAAGAACAGAUGAUACCCAGAUAAGGCGGAACCAGCAACAGUUUCUGAAAAAGUCCCACCUCAGUUUCAGGUUCCCCAAAUGACCGGGAAAUACCCCAAGCCUUGAUUUGAACUAACCACUCAGCUCGCUUCUCGCUUCUGUACCCGCGCUUUUUGCUCCCCAGCCCUAUAAAAAGGGUAAAAACCCCACACUCGGCGCGCCAGUCCUCCGAUAGACUGAGUCGCCCGGGUACCCGUGUUCCCAAUAAAGCCUCUUGCUGAUUACAUCCGAAUCGUGGUCUCGCUGAUCCUUGGGAGGGUCUCCUCAGAUUGAUUGACUACCCACCUCGGGGGUCUUUCAUUUGGAGGUCCCACCGAGAUUAGGAGACCCCUGCCCAGGGACCACCGACCCCCGCCGGGAGCUCACUUACAGGCCCUCCAAGCAGUACAACGAGAGGUCUGGAAGCCACUGGCCGCUGCUUAUCAGGACCAGCUGGAUCAGCCAGUGAUACCACACCCCUUCCGCGUCGGUGACGCCGUGUGGGUACGCCGGCACCAGACUAAGAACUUAGAACCCCGCUGGAAAGGACCCUACACCGUCCUGCUGACCACCCCCACCGCUCUCAAAGUAGACGGCAUCUCUGCGUGGAUACACGCCGCUCACGUAAAGGCGGCAACAACUCCUCCGGCCGGAACAGCAUGGAAGGUCCAGCGUUCUCAAAAUCCCUUAAAGAUAAGAUUAACCCGUGGGGCCCCCUGAUGUAAGGUUAAACCAGAGACAAAAAUUGUUCGAAUCAGGACAAGGGUGGUUUGAGGGACUGUUUAACAGGUCCCCAUGGUUCACGACCUUGAUAUCCACCAUUAUGGGCCCCUUGAUAAUACUUUUAUUAAUCCUACUCCUCGGACCCUGUAUUCUCAACCGCUUGGUCCAGUUUGUAAAAGACAGAAUUUCGGUGGUGCAGGCCCUGGUUCUGACCCAACAGUAUCACCAACUCAAAUCAAUAGAUCCAGAAGAAGUGGAAUCACGUGAAUAAAAGAUUUUAUUCAGUUUCCAGAAAGAGGGGGGAAUGAAAGACCCCACCAUAAGACUUAGCAAGCUAGCUGCAGUAACGCCAUUUUGCAAGGCAUGAAAAAGUACCAGAGCUGAGUUCUCAAAAGUUACAAGGAAGUUCAGUUAAAGAUUAACAGUUAAAAAUCAAGGCUGAAUAAUACUAGGACAAGGGCCAAGAACCGAUGGUACCCACCGGGGCCCCGGCUCAAGGCCAAGAACCGAUGGUACCCACCUGGGCCCCGGCUCAGGGCCAAGAACAGAUGAUACCCAGAUAAGGCGGAACCAGCAACAGUUUCUGAAAAAGUCCCACCUCAGUUUCAGGUUCCCCAAAUGACCGGGAAAUACCCCAAGCCUUGAUUUGAACUAACCACUCAGCUCGCUUCUCGCUUCUGUACCCGCGCUUUUUGCUCCCCAGCCCUAUAAAAAGGGUAAAAACCCCACACUCGGCGCGCCAGUCCUCCGAUAGACUGAGUCGCCCGGGUACCCGUGUUCCCAAUAAAGCCUCUUGCUGAUUACAUCCGAAUCGUGGUCUCGCUGAUCCUUGGGAGGGUCUCCUCAGAUUGAUUGACUACCC